rnacentral:lncRNA from 1 species
UAUAAUCUAGUGGACGGAACGCUUCUUCAACAACUGCAGCCACCUCGGUAGCUCGCUAGCCAACAAAGUCGGAACAUUCAAGUUCUUUAGACAAUUUCGUGGUUUAUUUGCCACUGUGAUUUAAACAUACUUAUGUGUAAACAACUAGCUACCCCAUUUCAUUUAAUAUUUACGUUGUAAGUCAGCUAGCUGGCUGGUUAAGUUAGCACUAGUCUAGUCGCUAAUGCUAACAAGCGGUUAUUCCCGACCAUGAGUUCACUAAACUAUUCCUCCUGAUAAAGAAGAGGUCUGCUGGACGGAGAAAGAAGCUCUUGUGAAAGAGGAGAAGGAAGAGAAGGAUGUUACAAUACAAAAACAAGUAGAGGGUGAGGCUGUUACCGUGAAAGAAGAAGAGGAAGACGCGUUUUUUGGAAUGAAGGAUGAAGAGGGGGAGAUUACUGUCACACUAGAGGAGGACGAAGAAGAGAAGACUGGAGAACUGAUCAACACCAGAAAAUACAUUUUUUAUUUUUAGACCACUGCAAACUUGAAGGAGUGAGUGAUGUCAUAUUAAGGCGGUCAAGGAGUUGGCUUGAUGGGAAGUUGUGAUGUCAUCCAAUAGGCGACUGAUCUUCAUGUGAGUAUUCAUUAUUCUUUUUAAAAUUCUUCCUGUUCUGUCAAGUUGGUUGUUGAUCAGAGCUAGAAAGCUAUGGCUUCAAGUCUUGCCAUAGACUUUCAAGAGGAUUUAAGUCCAAACUAACUAGGCCACUCAGGAACAUUCAAUCUUCUAAGCUCCUCAUCUUGGUAAGCUCCUCCAGUGUAGAUUUGGCCUUGUGGUUUAGGUUAUUGUCCUGUUAGAACAGUUUUUUGUGUUCAGAUAUCGGAAAUGCACUCUACCUACGUAACAUUUAGUGUUUCCUUAUAUUACGCUGGGAAACAGUUUUCAUGGGCACAGAAAUCCUAAAUCAUUUCAGAGUAUGCAAAAUCCAAUGGUUUUAACUGAGAGUCACCUUAAAGUAGACUGUGUCUGUAGAAUGUGUAUAAGAUGUAUGGAUUGAAGGUAGAAGCAGACGUUUAUUAGUUUACUUCAAUUGGGGGAUCGGC